AAUAGCGAGUCAAGCGGUUUAGCGACUAGACUUAGAAAACAGCCAAUAACGAGCUAAAUGAAGUUAUGGCAGGCUAUAGCAGCUAAAUUAUACAUAAAUUCAAAUAGUGAUACCAUGCCUCAAAUAGCUAUAGCGGGCUAUAGCGGAAAAUUUAAAACCUUGGCAGCAAGACAUUGGAAGGCAUCGAUGAACAAAAUAGACGGAUUGGCUUUCUUCUUCCUCGACUCCUCCUUCCUCUGCUCCCCUUAGAACCUUCUAGAUUCUUUCAUCCUCCUGGCUCUAGUGCUUCUUCUAGAAUCUUCUAGACCCCUGUAUCUCUUUCCCUUCCUUGAUUGUACCCUAGAAUUGAGUGAAUCGAGCUCGUAUUAUUGAGUGAUCUGUAUCUGGACAGAGGAGGAGCCGCAAAGCGUAGCAAGGUGGAGCACAGCGGCCAUGUGGCUUGGUUCGGCAUCGCCGGCGUCGACGCGCAGCAAGCGGAGCGCGGGGGCUGCAUGGUAGGGGAUGGAGAUCGGUGAUGACUGCACGGGAACCUCAGCCUUGCUGUGUUUUCCCCUCUUCCCCUUCCUGAUUCAGUGGAGAAGUGAAACGGACGAGGCGGAGAGAGCAUGUAAGCGGCGAAUCGACAGCCUCGUCGGAAGACAAUGGGUGUUCUUCGACAUUCAGGUUUGCAGUUUUCUCGCGUCUGACAAUCCCGAUUAUAUGUGAAGAGGCCAAUGACAGGUAAGUGGAACAACUAGUUGCAAGUGCAGAAAGGCUGCAGUUGCAGAAGUUAUUAAAAGAGGGGUAAGCGUUUUCUAUCUCUUUGUACAUAUAAAUGAUAUAUUUUUUAUUUUACAUAAUGAGUUUGUAGCAGUCACAAGAUCCAGUUGUUUGUGAAUUUUGUGGUUCACUUUGUAAAGUUUAUUUGUACGUGGAGUAUUUCUAUUAUGCAAAUGCACUUAAAAUGUUCUAUCCUGCCCAAUGUCUUCACAACUCUAUUUUAUUUUUAAAGUAAAGAGCUGAAAUUUUAGUGUUUAUGUGGGUGUCCUUGUGUGUCCCUCGUGUGGGUGGUGGGGAGAGGGGGGGUGCUUAUGUUUUAUUUCUUAGAAGCAUUAUUGUUAAUUUUCUUUAGCUCAUGAUUCAAUUUGGUGGAAUUUACAGUUAGUGUACAUGAUUAUUACAAUGCUUCAUGUUCUGUAAUUUUAGUAUACAUGCACUAUAAUUUAUUAUUUUUUGCAUAAUUGACCUACAUUAUCAUUUCAAUUGAUACAUUUUAUUUGUUUCCCUUACUCAGUAUCUUCUAAAAUCGAUACCUUUUAUUUUGAUUCUAUUUUUUGUUGAUGUUUGUUUGUGUUUUUUAAGUUUAGUAGGUACUUGAUAACUCACCAUGUGAUCUACUGUACUGUACUUGGACUAUUGUCCUCUCCUAUUUGAGAAAAAGAAAACCUGUCAGUGAAACUUUUUGUAAAAAAACUAUUUGAGAAAUGGGAAAACUAUUUGAGAAAUGUGUAAAAGUAUAAUUAUUUUCAUCUAUAACUAAUUGCAAUAAUGAGUCUAACCCAAAAAAAAAUGUAAUAUGACAUGCAUGCUCCAUCUCUUGCUCCUUACUAAAUGCCUGAUCAUUAGACAUGGUUUGAGUCUGUUCAGACAAUGGCAUUGGUAUUUCCUAGUUCUUAGCUGCAGUGAUGACAUAGUGUGUGUUCCUAUAGUUUAUAUUGACCACUAAGCAGAGGCCUGUGAAUUCGUUUGUAUGAGUGCUAAAUAUUCCUAACUAUGUCUAGCCUCUUAAACAAAUUUGCUAGUAAAUUGCACACUAAUUAUACUCUGAUGGAGUCAUAUGAUUUGUUCGUUAUUUACUGUAAAUAUGCAAAAAAAAAAUUGGCAGCUGAAUUAUUCAAACAUGAAGAGCAUGUAUAAUUGCCAACUUUAAUUUGCAUAUUCCAUUCAAUUAUUUCUAAUUCUUUACCUAUCUAUUUUUUAUUUUUUCUACAAAUAAAUUGAACAAGUGAUUAUCCUCAGGAUUAGCAGACAAUGGACAUGACUUGUUGUUUUAUUGAUGCACAUAUGUGUUUUUGCUGCCGUUUCAACCAUUUUCUUUCAUGUCUGUGCCCUAUCUUGUAAUUUGUGCCCUAUGUUCAAGAGUUGAAAGUGUCCUAGUUGAAAGUGUCUUAGACAUGCUGAACAGAAGUCGACUUGGGCUUGUUUUCUUAUUCAGAAUUACUAUGUGUGAAUUGUUGCGUAAAGACACUCUUCUGUAUCGGCUUGUUGGUUUUCAAUUUUUUGAAACAUUAAUAGGCGGCUGUGGUUGCUAGGGCUGUUGUUGCCUAAUGAAUAUAGACUGAUGUUACUGUUAACUAGUCACAGGCAAAAGUAGCCCAACAGGCCGAACGGCUGCAAAAGUGUCAUAGUCAACAGCAGCCCAACAGGCCUAAUGGGUGCAACAAACAGUCAGCGGACCCGUCAAGUGGGAAGCGGGCACGCGCUACAGACAUCGGGACCUAUAAGCGGAGGAAAGCUAGCUAGUUAUUUUUGAUUUGGAUCGCUGUAUCUCUCUCAGCCUAGACGGGUGACUUACAGAUAUGUAAAUAAAUAAAGAUGCCGAGGGUGCACUAGACAAAAAUCCCCGCGGCCAGAGGUGAGGCGGAGCUCCCCAAUCUCGACACCAACUGGCAGCGGCAGGGAGCAUCCACCCACCCACCUGAGCGGAUCAGCUAGGCAUCCACGCUUUGGCGUGCUCGCAGCGGCGGCGCACGGCGACACCACCGGUGCGGGGACGCGGGGGUGCGCCGUGUCAGCGCGCGUGAGGCGCGGCUCCAGGUCGCCCCGCUCCGCGCCGCACACGUAGCGCGCCACGCGGUCGCCGGCGGCGGCGCGCUGGGGGCGGGGGCUCUCCCGAUUGGCGCUUGCCCACGUGAGCCCACGCCCCCAAGGCCUCGCGAGGGGUCCGCCGCGCCGCGGGCUCCAUCUGAGGGAGAGAGGCUGCGGGUGCGACGGCGGCAAGGCUCGAGCGAGCCAGGAGGCCUCGGCCAGCGCCACCCACCACCACCAGCCCCGAUCGCCCGUCGGCGUCACGCCCGCCCGCCCCCCACGCCGGCUCCACGUGAACGGCCCGGCGCGCCCUCGCGCGAUGGCUGGAGGGAGCUGGGCGGAUGGUUUGGCUCGAGGCGCUCGAGCCAAACCGCUUGGGAGCUCUGGCAGACUGGGACCGCCCUGGCUGCUUCCGCGUCCCUGGCUGGAUCCCCCCGGCAACUCGCGGGACAAUUAGGCCAUGUUUAGUUCUAAAAUUUUUUCAAGUUUUUUGUCAUAUUAGAUUUUUUGACACAUGCAUGUUGUAUUAAAUAUAAUUUUAAAAAAUAACUAAUUGCAUAAUUUAGUUGUAAAUGAUGAAAUGAAUUUUUUGAGUCUAA